GUGGAGAUGAAGGUGGAGGAGAAGCUGGAGGUGAAGGUGGAGCUGCUGAAGUUCUGCUUGGCAGUCUUUAACACCGUGUUUCUGUUUGUGGGUCUGAGUGCGGCCGGCUGUGCGAUCUGGAUCCUGUUCGACAGAGGAAGCUUCCUGAACUCCCUCCCCUCCGGUAAAGACUGCAGCUUUAAAGGAUCAGCCCAACAUUUACAAAGAGGACGCUGCUUUAGCCUAGCUUAGCACAAAGACUGUAAACAAGGGGGAACUGUUAGCAUAGCUCAAUGACACUGUGUGUGUGUGUCUGUCUGUCUCUGUGUGUGUGUCUCUGUCUCUGUGUCUCUGUGUGUGCAGAGGAGCUGCAGGUGGUGUCCGUGGGCCUGCUGGUGAUCGGUGGUGUUGGCGGUCAGCGUGGCAGCGACCUGUGAGAUCAGGUUCCUACUGCUGACGGUGAGUCAGCGUAACGUCUGAUGCUGCAUUCAGGUCACGUGGGAAAAUGCUGCGACCACAUCCAGGGCUCAGUCAGCUGUUUUUUACCUGUGUCCCUCGGCUGAUGUGUGGUGGGUUUCUUGAAAGAACACUGUGAGAAAUAAAAUCCAGUUUUGUUUCUUAGUGCUGCCCCCU
rnacentral:lncRNA from 1 species